rnacentral:lncRNA from 1 species
CAGUGCUAUAAAUACUCCUCACCUCUCUCUUUUAACAAACCAACACACACUGCUCUCACAAUCAAAAGCUCUCUGAAUUCUCUCUUUCUCUACUAUUACUAUACUCUCUCAUUCUCUUCUUUGAACACUCAAUCGGCUAACAGCCAAGAUUGAGUAACUUGUGGUUGAUUACUUUACACUAUUGGGUUCUAUUUGCUUGUCUGUAUUAGGUAUGUUGCUGUUGUUAUUAUUCUCUUACUGCUGUUACUCACACUGUUGCUCUUAUUCUUUGCACACUUUUCUCUCCCUUUGUGCAUUACUGCAUUGCUAUUGUAUCCUAUUACCUGCAAUUGGUAUGUCACCUAUUUAAUAUACUGUUUCCACAACAACAUGCUCUUAUUAGUUUUGCAAUUCAUAUUGUUUCUUGCGUGCUUUUACCUAUGGUUCAAUUGCGCUUAUUGGCACUAGCAUGGAGUUGUCCGUCUACUAGUCUAACUUAGCAUGUUUUCCCCUAUUCCCCUUUCCCUGUCUCAAUGCAUGUUCUUAUUCCAUGUGCACUACUGCUUGGCUACUGAACAGCCCUGAAACCUCUCCCUGAGGUUGAUUAAAUUUGGGAUUUGGUGCAGUAAGAAUUCAAUCCUUGUUUUACAACCAUGCUUGAUUAUUUUCCU